UGGGGAAUUUUCCGCAAUGGGCGAAAGCCUGACGGAGCAAUACCGCGUGUGGGAGGAAGGCCCUUGGGUUGUAAACCACUUUUAUCAGGGAAGAAGAUCUGACGGUACCUGAUGAAUAAGCAUCGGCUAACUCCGUGCCAGCAGCCGCGGUAAUACGGAGGAUGCAAGCGUUAUCCGGAAUCAUUGGGCGUAAAGCGUCCGUAGGUGGUUUGUCAAGUCUGUCGUUAAAGAAUGGGGCUUAACUCCAUAAAGGCGGUGGAAACUGAGAGACUAGAGUUCGGUAGGGGUAGCGGGAAUUCCCAGUGUAGCGGUGAAAUGCGUAGAUAUUGGGAAGAACAUCGGUGGCGAAAGCGCGCUACUGGGCCGAAACUGACACUGAGGGACGAAAGCUAGGGUAGCG
rnacentral:rRNA from 1 species